UGAUGCCCGUACUGUUUGCAUUGCAGGGAGUUCUGUUGUUGAACUCGUUCCAGGCUGGCCGUGUGGACUUGGUGCCUGUUUGUGCUGAAGUGCGCUGGUCGUGCUCCUAGUAUGCAUCUCACAGUUCAGUUCUAGCUGAAAGGAAACCACGUCAUCUGCUCCAGGACUGCUUCCUGAUGCACAGUCAGUGGGAACAAUUAAAAAGUUAGCUUUAUGUGCAAAGAAAUUGAGGUAGAUGCACCUUUGAGACUAUAAUUUAUGGCUUGUGCUGGCUUUUCUCUCUUGGCAUUGCUUUCUAAGAACCUUACCAGAAAUGAGCCCCAUGACAAAUUACAUGGCUUUUAUCAUAUUACCAGGCACAUGAUAGAGUGCUGUAUCUAUUCAAGGGAUGCUCUCAAUCCCUCAGCAAAACCAGCCUAUCUGCACAGCCUUCUGUCUCCCCAGGCUUGCAAGGUGCACACCAGCAGGACAGGGGAGGGGAAUGAGGAGGGACUGUCCAGAAACUGAGCAGUCUGCUUCUUCCUUCUAGUGACAGGACGCAUCAUACUCCUGAGGUUUAUUUUGGUUUCUCUUCUAUCACUCAAGGCUGUUCCCUUCCCUGAUGCUUUUUAAGGGUAACAAAUGUGGGUGUGGUGUUAGUAAAGUCAUCUGCUAGUAAAGUCAUAUUUCAGAGGAAACCUAGAUUGGUAGUACUGGUUCAGUCUUCCAAGUAGUGGAAGUAUUUGAUCUACUAGGAUAGAACUCUGCACUCCUGCAGUUAUGACAUGACUUUUUGAGAUAAUCGUGUCAAAACUAUGAGCUUUAGGGUUUUCUUACUUUGUUUUCUAAGAUUAUUUUGUCUUUGCAUGACAGCAUUGUGACUUCUGCAAGUCUUGUGCCACUAUGCGCCAUGGAGCAGCUUGAUAUCUCACUAUGGUAUUUGAGGAAUGAAAAUUGUUGGGCAGGUGAAACGUGUCUAACGGGCCAGAUUCUUGAUUCAGAAACCUGUUAAGAUUAUCUUAUUUUCUAUUCUGUGUUCAAAAUAUAUAUUAGGGAGGCCUAGUAGCUUUGGAAGGCUUAGACUUGAAGGCACUGUUCAUCACGGAAUUGGUGUUCUGUGUCCAAAAGAAGAAAAGAAAGAUGUGUUUCAUCAUCACUAUUGCUCCAGACUGUCAGAAAUAACUUCAGCUUGGACAAAUUGCCCAAAAGAACCAGUUGUGUCAGCUGUGCUAAGAUUUGUAACUGAGGAUGAUGCAGGAUAUGGGGUUUGGUAUUUAUGUUUAAACAGCACUAAACUCCCAGAUAAGCUGCUGCUGCUUGAUGCCAUGCAUUGUGUGAGCACACUCACACGUUCUUGUGAGUAACACUCACUGAUGUUUGUUGUUCAUAACUGAAGUACUUAAAAAUGCUUCAGACGUCUCGGCUUGUGAAACUUGUUGUUUCCAGUAAAUGCAUUUGCUGUAUUGUCUCCUAAAUUUCUGCUUGAACGUUGUCCAAGGAAGUCUGCUCUGUUGUUGUAUUCUUAUUAUUUUGGCUUUGAUUGUAGUUGGCUGCUUUCUUAAAGACACCACAGUGUUGCAGAAUUUACCAUUGGAGGUAGUUUUAAACAUUUACUCUUGACUUUCCCUGGCAACUCAUUUAUGUAAUACUUCUAUAAUUCUGUUCAGGUUGUAUUUCUCUUUCUGGCUCUGUAGAGAGAUGGAUGUGUUACAGCAGCUAAUGGCUGUGCUUGGGAACCGAGGGAGCUACCAGUAUGCAGAGCGCUGUGAGAGGGGUGAAAUAAGGAGAGCUUGUUUGCUCAUUAAUUUUGUCUGCAGCAGCAGUAAUGUUGGAGCUGCUCCUCUCUUACUCUCUAUACCUUCCGCUAUUCUAGUCCUUUAGCUUGUACCCAUAAUAGCUUGGUUUUCAAAUUGCAGGAAUGAAAAACGGGCUAGUUUAGCUCCUCAAAGUUCUGCAUCUUAUUAGCAAUUCACUGAAGGGAACAACCAAUUUCUUGUUGAGGGUAACCUGUGGUGGCCUCUGCUGCUUGUAGAAUGUUCUGUGCUUGUUCUGAAUUCUGCUCCUUUGCUGGAGUUCUCCUGUAUGUGCCUAUAUUGGCAUCUAAAGCAGAGCCAUUUUGGAGUGAAGAUGAACAUGUUUUCCUGAUCGGCUCUAGAGAAAAGUACAGUUUUAAGGGGAGGAUUAGAGGUAUAUGUGAUGCUGUUUUAACUUCGAUACCUGGCCAAAUUUUAAAUGACCAUUCAGCAUUUAAAAAUGUCCUUUGAAUGAAUCCGUGCGCCUAACGCUGUCAGCAGAGCUGCUAACAAAGAGCACCGAUGCUGCCGCACAGCUGAGCCGGGCGAAUGAGAGCGUGAGCAAUGACAAAGGGGUUUUCUUCUGUGAGAACAGUGCUGCUGGAAAAAAAUCAGAAGACAUGUAGAAGCUGCUGAAAUAAUGUCACUCAUCAGUCUUUCUCUGACUAAAGAGUGAAGGAAGAACUAAUGGAGUCUGGCUUUACCCAUGGACUAUAAUUCUGGAAUGCUGCUGUCUCAACAUGAAGGGCUUUUGCUUGUUGAAGAAGCAUUCAGUGCUGAUAAGCAGAUGAGAAAGCUGUGGAGUAGCCUUACUGCGCUGAGACGAGUAGCCUUUCUUUAAGGGGCAGUAAUUGUUGUUACUGUAGAAUCAUUUAGGUUGAAAGGGACUGCUAAGAUCAAGUCCAGCUGUCUUUUAACACUACCUGUCCACCAUGAAACCAUGUCCUUUAGUGCCACAUCCAUGUCUUACUUAGCCCUGGCACAUUUUAUGGAUGCGUCUGCAGCCUCAUCAGUGUUUUAGUACGUUUCAAACUGAUUUAGACUAAUAAUCACCAUUUCAUAGUCAGUGAUUAAUUCAUAUAAUGUUAUCGUAUGGAGCAUAUAUGCUCUGACAGCAGAGCAGAGAGCUGUAUGCCAUUUAAAGCUUUGUGACGGUUUAUUAGUGAUUGUUUUAUUCUGCCUUGUGUCUAAUUGUAAUGUUACAGCAAAAAGGAAAAAAAAAUCAGUGUAGGGGCCUCUUCUCGUUUCUACAAAUGAUUCAAAAUCGUCUUCGAUGGGAAUAUAAAAUCUCAAGCUCUUCUGUAAGUUGUUUAAAAAUUGUGAAUAAAAUAGUUUUCCAACA